AGGGAGCUCAAGGUGGGUUGAAUCCUUGGAAUGAUCUUGCCAAAAAGACUUUCUAUCACGAUGAAGCAUUUUAGUAUAUGACACUAGAGCUUCAGUUUUGACGGGACACUUAAGAGUCAACUUCUUCAAGGUUAAUCAAAUGCUUAUUUAAGUUUAUCUUGAUUUAUACUGUUCCCUCUCUUUUUUAAUCGGAGAUGCUCUUUGAACCUAAUUUGGUACAAACUUAACGUUUUCCAUGAUGAUAUGCAGAAGCUAGUGUAGGCAUAGGCCUGACUAAAUUACUGACUAGGUGUUUGUGCAAAUGCAGAUCCACGACGCUGAUCACUUGACCAGUUCCCCCUGCUGCACGAGCUGUAAGGAGGGCAAGAUGUCGAGGCUAGUUGUGCCGCUGGACAAUGAAAACCUGCUCCACGAGAUCCUCCUCCAACUCCCCCCGCGGUCGUCCUCACUCCCAGCGCCUCCCUCGUCUGCAAGUGUCGGCGUCGCAUCAUAUCUGAAAUCCACUUUUUCCGCCGCUUUCACGCACGCCACCCAGCUCUCCCUUCCUCAGUUGAUUUGUCAGCAACCUGCGAGGCUUCUCCUACACACCUACCAUGGAGGCCCCAUAUCGUGUCCCCACCGAGUGCAACUCAUGGCUCCUGGAUCCAGCCAUCCAGGACACUAAUCACUUGGUUGGUUCCAGUGGACAAUCAAAAGGUUCCCUGGAACUGGAGACGAGAUUCACUCAAUGAAUCACUUUUCAGCAGAGCAAUUGAAGUUCUACGCUGUUGUGCAACAAUGCCCCCUGAAUCGCUCGCUAGUAGCCUGAGUUGCUAUUUCGUGGAGUAUCUAAAGCUUGAAAUUUUCCUUGUGUUUAUGUAAUUAUUACUAUCCAGAAAACAAAUUCCUUACGGUGUCUAGUUUAGUUUAUGUCACAACUAAUAAGUUCUGCUUCUGUAGUAAAGAUUGACAAUUUUUUUGUAUAAUAACUGAAUUAAAUCCCAUUGUGGCCUGCCUAUUGGCAUAUGCAAG
rnacentral:lncRNA from 1 species